UGAGGAAUAUUGCGCAAUGGGCGAAAGCCUGACGCAGCAACGCCGCGUGGAUGAUGAAGUUCUUCGGAAUGUAAAAUCCUUUUGCAGGGGACGAAUAUGCUGGCUUGCCAGCACUGACGGUGCCUUGCGAAUAAGCCACGGCUAACUCUGUGCCAGCAGCCGCGGUGAUACAGGGGUGGCAAGCGUUGUCCGGCUUUACUGGGUGUAAAGGGUGCGCAGGCGGACCGAUAAGUCUGGGGUUAAAUCCAUGUGCUUAACACAUGCACGGCUUCCGAUACUGUCGGUCUAGAGUCUCGAAGAGGAAGGCGGAAUUUCCGGUGUAACGGUGGAAUGUGUAGAUAUCGGAAAGAACACCCGUGCCGAAGGCAGCCUUCUGGUCGAGAACUGACGCUCAUGCACGAAAGCGUGGGGAGCAAACA
rnacentral:rRNA from 1 species